GAUGGAUGGCAAUUUCUAUUCACAGGCUUCUAACCCUACAUUGAGGUGUAAUACAAUGUUCUUCUUUUGCAUGGAACCAGCCUAAUAAGCAUCUCGGCACGUUCUAAAUGAAUGUCCUCUCAUCUUCACUGUUUAGUCUUUGGAUAGUCUUUCUGUCAUCUGCUAGUUUUAUUUGCAGGGAUGUACUAUUUACCUUCAGACUGUACAUACAAAAUUGUAUCAGAGGGGAUUCUGUGGAAUCCAGUAGGACUGACUCCUGUUAAGUGGUGGGUUCAUCUAACUUUUUUUUUCCUUAACGCUUAUGUUACUUAGUCAGUUUUUAACCUGUUAACUGUAUACCUUAGGGCUUUAAAAACCUUCAGAAUUCUGAGUAUAUUGCAUUUAUGUUCUUGUCUUUAUCAGCCAAAAUUGUAAUCCCAUCAAAGAAAUGAGGCUUCUUUGACUCUGCAGGACCUGCUCACAGAAAAUGGGCUACAAAGACAUUUGGAACAACUCUUCGGCUUGCGAAUUAAAAUAUGGAAUAACGUUCAGGCCGCCUGGAGACAAAUGAUAUGGAAAAAGGCCUUUGUGACAUAGGUCCCUACUGGUGCUGUGCUGUACAAGUAGAAAGAUACCUAGACAGAAGGAAGAUGAGGUGAAGUAGGAUCUUCUAGGGGAGAAGAAAUAAUGAGUUAAUGGAGAGCAAUGGAGUAUGGUCAAGGAGAACAGGUCUGAGGAACGACAAGGUAUGGCAGACAAGGGAGGUACAGCAGGGAGCUGAGAGCCAGCAGCUCCUGCACAGAGACUGCAGGACUUCAGUGAGAGACAUCGAGCAGCUAUCCAGACUUCCUCGUGACUCAAGAGGUCUGAAAGCGAAAGGCAGAUACCGAGUGAGGAGGAGCCCUGGCUUGAGCGCUCAGCCGGUUGGAUGCUGCACGUGGACGUUGGCAUCUUUGCCUGCCUUUGCCACAGAGUUUCUCCACAACGGUGAGUUAAGUCACUUAACCCACGUUUCUCCUGAGUCUUUUGCUAACCCACUUUAUUUUCUAAACACUUACAGUUGUG
rnacentral:lncRNA from 1 species